rnacentral:rRNA from 1 species
UGGGGAAUAUUGCACAAUGGGCGCAAGCCUGAUGCAGCAAUGCCGCGUGAGUGAAGACGGCCUUAGGGUUGUAAAACUCUUUCGCUAGGGAAGAUAAUGACGGUACCUAGUAAAGAAGUCCCGGCUAACUCCGUGCCAGCAGCCGCGGUAAUACGGAGGGGAACUAGCGUUGUUCGGAAUUACUGGGCGUAAAGAGUUCGUAGGCGGACUAGCAAGUUAGAGGUGAAAUCCCAGGGCUCAACCUUGGAACUGCCUUUAAAACUGCUAGUCUAGAGACCGGAAGAGGUUAGGGGAAUACCUAGUGUAGAGGUGAAAUUCGUAGAUAUUAGGUGGAACACCAGUGGCGAAGGCGCCUAACUGGUCCGGUACUGACGCUGAGGAACGAAAGCGUGGGGAGC